rnacentral:tRNA from 1 species
GCUCGGAUAGCUCAGCAGGUAGAGCAGCGGACUGAAAAUCCGCGUGUCGCUGGUUCGAUUCCGGCUCCGAGCA